rnacentral:rRNA from 1 species
UACGUAGGGUGCAAGCGUUAAUCGGAAUUACUGGGCGUAAAGCGUGCGCAGGCGGUUUGUAAGUCUGACGUGAAAUCCCCGGGCUCAACCUGGGAAUUGCGUUGGAGACUGCAAGGCUGGAGUCUGGCAGAGGGGGGUAGAAUUCCACGUGUAGCAGUGAAAUGCGUAGAGAUGUGGAGGAACGCCGAUGGCGAAGGCAGCCCCCUGGGUCAAGAU